GACGAACGCUGGCGGCGUGCCUAAUACAUGCAAGUUGAGCGCUGAAGGCUGGUACUUGUACCAACUGGAUGAGCAGCGAACGGGUGAGUAACGCGUGGGGAAUCUGCCUUUGAGCGGGGGACAACAUUUGGAAACGCAUGCUCAUACCGCAUAAAAACUUUAAACACAAGUUUUAAGUUUGAACGGUGCAAUUGCAUCACUCAAAGAUGAUCCCGCGUUGUAUUAGCUAGUUGGUGGGGUAAAGGCUCACCCAGGCGAUGAUACAUAGCCGACCUGGGAGGGGGAUCGGCGACAUGGGGACGGGGACACGGCCCAUACGCCUGCGAGAGGCAGCAGUAGGGAAUCGGAGGCAAUGGACGAAAGUCUGACCGAGCAGGGCGGCGGGAGAGAAGAAGGCUUUCGGUGCGUGAAACUCUGUUGGUAGAGAAGAACGUUGGUGAGAGUGGAAAGCGCAUCAAGUGACGGUAACUACCCAGAAAGGAACGGCUAACUACGUG
rnacentral:rRNA from 1 species